rfam:Bacillus sp. WF146 contig303, whole genome shotgun sequence.
CGCAUACUGUAACCGCUCGAAUCAGGUUGGACAAGACGCCGUUCACGGCGCACCUGCACAGGCGAGUCUGAGUAUAGGA